rnacentral:rRNA from 1 species
AAUAGAUACCCAGGUAGUCCACGCCGUAAACGAUGGAUACUAGCUGUUGGGCGCAAGUUCAGUGGCUAAGCGAAAGUGAUAAGUAUCCCACCUGGGGAGUACGUUCGCAAGAAUGAAACUCAAAGGAAUUGACGGGGGCCCGCACAAGCGGUGGAGCAUGUGGUUUAAUUCGAUGAUACGCGAGGAACCUUACCAAGGCUUAAAUGUAGAUUGACCGGUUUGGAAACAGAUCUUUCGCAAGACAAUUUACAAGGUGCUGCAUGGUUGUCGUCAGCUCGUGCCGUGAGGUGUCAGGUUAAGUCCUAUAACGAGCGCAACCCCUGUUGUUAGUUGCCAGCGAGUCAAGUCGGGAACUCUAACAAGACUGCCAGUGCAAACUGUGAGGAAGGUGGGGAUGACGUCAAAUCAUCACGGCCCUUACGCCUUGGGCUACACACGUGCUACAAUGGCCGGUACAGAGAGCAGCCACUGGGUGACCAGGAGCGAAUCUAUAAAACCGGUCACAGUUCGGAUCGGAGUCUGACAACUCGUACG